AAGUUUUCAUUAAUUUUAUUGGUGGAAAAUAAAAGGGUCUAAAUCUCUACCUUCUUGUUCUUAUUUUUAAAAGGAAACAUAUAUGUAGAGAGAGAGGAGCUUUAUCUGAAAUAGGUCACUUUUUGAGAUGACUUGCCUCGGCAUGGUAGUUCCUGUGUUCCUUCUAGGUAGCUGCUACUUCAAAGACAAGUGAAUUGAGUCUCCUUUAAAAGUUCAGGUUCAUACCUGAGUCCAUUAUUCUUCUCUAUACCAGACUAUUUUUUUUAAUUUGACUUUUAGUAUCUGAGUCCUUCUUCAUUUAACUGGAAUUCCCAUAUUACUCU
rnacentral:lncRNA from 1 species